AUUGACUCAUUUUCCUUUUUUAAGUUCAUAUAAUCAUCCCUUCCGUCAUCCAUAGGUUGCGGUUCAGCCGAACAACUUGCACAUUCAGGGGCCAUUGUUGAGUUCAUUUUUCUAUCUCCCUCUGUAGCCCUAUUCUGCUCUCAUGCCCAGCGAACACACCUUUUUCAUCUUUAAUUGUUUGAUCAUCAGUAUCAUCAACUCCAAGUAAGUUGGUAAACAAUGGACAUCUUUUUCAGAGAGAGUAUUAGCAGAUUCAGGGGGUGUUUCUGUGUUCGCCUUGAACCUUUCAAUAUCGAUCCACUGUUUCUCGGGAUUCUCAUGAGCACUCUUUAGUAAACCAUCAAUAUUUUUUAAGUGCUUUUUAUCUCCACUUGAGGGUAUCUUUCACGAAUGUCAUUCAUGACAUUUUUAAAUUCCUUUAAAUUGAGACUACCAGAGUUGUUCUCAUCUACCUUCCUAAAUAUAGCCCAAAUAUCUUCCGUAAAUUUGCGUUGAUUUAUCGUGGCACAAUCACCUAGGGCAUAUGUGUUUACACAGCCUUCCACUCUCGGUCAUUCAUCAGUUGCUAAAGCACGCGUGUGAGUUUGUUGCUUCAAGAAAUCCAUUAUGAUUGGGCGAGUCCCGAUGCCAAUUAACCAGACUACCAUUCCAUAUGGUAUGGAUAAAGUUUCACCAGUUCCUCCUUUGGUAGAAAUUUCUUUGUCGGCGACUUUCACCACCAUGGAUUCUGUUUUCAAAUGGAUACGAUCUCUCUGAAAUUUUUCUUCAGCAAAAGUAGUGAUUAUUUUGUCAAAUAUGUUCAAGAUAUGGUCGCUUGCUUCAAGAAGUGUUAUUUUCACAAGAUCCUUAAGCGCAGGGUACAACUCAGCUAGAUCUUUAUUUACAAAGCCAUGAAGCUCUGCUGCAAACUCCACACCUGUUGGGCCACCAUCAACAAUUAUGAAAUGCAGAAUUCUUUUCCUCUUUUCUUUAGUUGCAUUAGGAAGGUUUGUUCUUUCAAAACAAUCGAUCAUAGUCUGGUGGAUCCUGUAAGCAUCAUCUGGGUGUUAUCUCUAUGAUCCUUCAGACCCAUGAACAAGUACUGCAGAAUGCAUGAGAAACAAAAAAUAUGCUCGCAUGAGGUUAUCUGGGGACACAAAGGAUAUUUCAAGCAAAUUGGACACUGUAUGGGAUGCGGCUUUAAAUACUUUACACACAUAAUAUCCUCCCACCGCAACAUUUUAUCUGGAUCCAUCGAUAUAGGUGUAUCGUCUCCAGGGUCGAGCACAACAAAUUUGUAGUUUGCUUGAAGGCAUAAAUCUUUUUUGUAAGGCUUAAUUUUCUGCAGCCUUGUCCGAGGACGAGAAAUAGGGUCAUAAUGAAAAUUCAGCAGACGAUUAUCGUUAAACACCUGGGUUUUCCUACGUAAAGAAUGUGUAGCAUUUCCAUGUGCGUGCAUGUGCGCUCUCAGAUCGGCGUCCUACUUAAACCCCGUUCCGCAGAUCCCACAGAAGUGGAUGUGCUCGGCAAGCGAUUCCAUAUCGUCGAGCUCCACGAUCUCGCACUGAUCGUCACCGUCCAUCUCAUCAACUGUCUCCUCGUCGACCACCUCGCCUUUCAUUAGAAUCUUUGCAUCAGGAGCGCUAGUUCCAGCGACCAGCUGUUAAUUAGCAGGUGCCUUGACCGGAUCCGACGAGCUUGGUGCUCCCAGAUUCUGAGUGCACGCGAGUAAAGUUGCGUUGUUGAUGAUGAUUUGGUGAAUGGCAGAGACGAGCUUCGAGGACACCAUUUGUCUCUGAUCGCUGCCGAGCAGGGUGUUGCUGUUGGAAUUGUUGGUGGUGAAACUAUGGGGCUGGUUGAUCUUCUGCUUGCUAAGCAACUUCAUACUCUCAGAAAGAGCUCCCAACUGUUGAGUGAUAUUGAUAAGCGUCUUCUGUUGAUCUGCUUGAGCAAUCUGGAUCACCUGUUAAAAUCUCUGAAGUUCUUCUUGUGACUUUUUCAGGGCGACAAUGGACUCUAGAAUUUUGUUCAUGCGAGCUCCCUCUCUCAUGGUGGUAGGAGUUUGGCUUUGCUACCAAUUGUAAUGAAUCUGCUAGUAUGAGUUAUACGAUUGGAUGAAUUUCAAUAGAAAAAUGGAAUGAAUGAAAUGAAUGAAUGAAUUUUAAUAAGAAAAUGGAAUGAAUACUGAAUGUAAUAAAAAUGGAAAUGAAGUUACGGGUUGGUUAGUUUGAGAAGCCACUCUCCAAAGAAAUAAACAAUUCCUAAUUUUCUACUCUCCCUCUUUCCGCUGGUCACCCCCUUAAUACCUAACAACCUGUAACAAAAACAACAAUAAAAAAAACUAACUAUCGUACAAGGACUCAAAUGGGUUUGGCCCAGCGCCCAGCCCAGUUAUCCUCCGCUCACACGUGCACACGCGCGGACGCAAUCUUCCAUUCAAUCUGAUUCACCAACUGCGGACGCCAGAGUUUCCUUCAAUCUGCCUCACUUCCCAGAUUAAGAAGAGUCAUCUCGGUCUCCCCCCUGCAGCACCGCCGUUCCGGAUUUCGAAGGGCCACCCCAGUCUUCCUCCCUACUUUAUUUGGCUCCGCCCAUAGCACAUUGCCUGCUCUCUUCGAGCAAGCUCGGAAAAUUCAUCUCAUGGCGUCGGACUCGGGGGGCUGAUCUGGACACUCGGAGAAAGGGCUGCUACGCUCUGAAACAGUGCGAGGACAUGGCUUUCUCUUUGGUAUGGGAGAUAUAGGAAAUAAGAAUUCUUGUGGCGCAUUCUACCAUGGAAAUAGAGCUUGUUCCACAAGAAGAAUUUUGUUGCAAAUGUGACGACGCAUGAAAUAUGGAAUAUUUGUCGUGAUUUUUACUGGUAUAUAGGUUUUGUAAAGUUGAUUAUUUUUUUUAUUUUUUUGUUUUUAAAUCUUAUCCAAUAGAGUUGCUUGUAUAUUAGAGCUAUUUUUGUGAAUGAAAAGAUGUUAAUAGGCCAUCUUCAAAUUUAAAUUGUCAAAACUCAUUAAUGUUUAUAAUCAUCUUUUGAGCAAA